AGAUGUGAGAGCAAUCUGGCUGAGACAGCUGUCGCCCCUUUGUUCACCUGUGUUGAUUCUAUUGCUCUAACUGGUGAGGCAGAUGUCCCCUUUCCUCUCUCCCUGCUACACCUGCAUCCCUCUCUUCUGAAGCCUCACAUGCAGAAACACCUGCACGAAAACAGGAAGAGAAGCCACGGUCUUGGGUGAGAUUGUCCGAGCCAAGAGUAGAAAGUAGGGAAAAAAGUAGGGCCU
rnacentral:snRNA from 1 species